CAGCCGGAGGUGGCCGUUUCAUAAUAGUCAAUGCUGGAAAAACCUUGAAAUGUAGUGUGAAGUCUAUAUGUUUUUGUUAAAUGUAAUUGUUUAUAUGUUAUUUAAUUUUUUUCACAGUUUUGUGUUGCAGAAGAUUGGCAGAAAUGUGAUUUGAGAUGCCUCGGAUGAAGCAGUCUCAGCGCUCCCAGGCAGCCAAGAAGAGGAUGGCGGACCAGAUGGCUGCUGAUCCUGAAGAGGUUUUGCCACCUCUUAAAAAAAACUGGCAGAAAUAUCUGAACGUUGUGUGCAUCACAACGUGCUUGAAAUACCUGAUCAUGACAAUUUUCUGAAAGAACCUGAUCUUGACAUUUUUCGCAAAGAACCUGCUCUUGACAAUUUCCCUGAAAAUGAUCUUGAAAAGCCUUUGACAAUCCUUGACAUACCUUUGACAACCCUUAAGAAACACUUUGAAGAACAACAAAAAAAAACAUUCUCUAAAACGCUACCUGAUUCUUCCUCUCUGCCUCACUCUACUGGAGAUAGAAACAUGACUGUGAAUGCUGUUUCUGCUCUAUGUCCACAGACUUCCUACAUCAGAGGCUCUUUCCAUCAAGGAGAUUACCGUUUUGGCUGGAAUAGUGGAAAGCAAUGUGGUGCAAAUAGUUUAACUUCAAUUGUGAUGUGUACGAUGAAAAGUGUGUUGCAGUGGACGAGAAGUGAACGGAAUGCUGUUCUGAUCCAUGGAAAUGAUCAGUACAGUGCCAUGAGAGACGCAGGAAAAAUCCACGAUCGUAAAUCAGGCUUCAUACGUGUUGAUGAGCUGCCAGACACACACAUGCUGAACAAUUGUAAAUUUUCAAUAAACUAUGGUGAAUCA